UGGGGAAUAUUGCACAAUGGGGGAAACCCUGAUGCAGCCAUGCCGCGUGUGUGAAGAAGGCCUUCGGGUUGUAAAGCACUUUCAGCGAGGAGGAAAGGUGGCUAGCUAAUACCUAGUUGCUGUGACGUUACUCGCAGAAGAAGCACCGGCUAACUCCGUGCCAGCAGCCGCGGUAAUACGGAGGGUGCAAGCGUUAAUCGGAAUUACUGGGCGUAAAGCGCACGCAGGCGGUUCGAUAAGUCAGAUGUGAAAGCCCCGGGCUCAACCUGGGAACUGCAUUUGAAACUGUCUGACGAGAGUCUUGUAGAGGGGGUAGAAUUCCAGGUGUAGCGGUGAAAUGCGUAGAGAUCUGGAGGAAUACCGGUGGCGAAGGCGGCCCCCUGGACAAAGACUGACGCUCAGGUGCGAAAGCGUGGGGAGCAAACA
rnacentral:rRNA from 1 species